rnacentral:tRNA from 1 species
GCCGGCUUAGCUCAGUUGGUAGAGCAGCGGUUUUGUAAACCGAAGGUCGGGGGUUCGAGUCCCUCAGCCGGCACCA